CCGAACAGAGUUGCUCUGCUCCAGUCCACUUGUUGUUCCUUCUUCCCCAAGCGCUCCUAAGAGCUCCUCGGUCUUUCCUCUGCGCUCCUCUUUCCUCCGCCGAGACUGAGAUCGACUCUGCGCUGACAUCCGAUUCGGAAAACUGCACCCUCGUGCGGGCGAAGAGCGCUUAGCUCGUCCACCGUGCGCACAUACCAUGGCUCCCCUCGAGGAAGCGAACAACUUCGAAGCAGAUCCAGAUGGGCUGGCUGAAGACGUCGAGCUAGCGCCGAGGAGGAAGGGUAGCGGCCCUCACAAACCAACUGGGUUGGAAGGAUCCGAUCCCAACGACAUUCCGUCGGUACGAUGCGGCUUCACUGCUUCUUACCUGAGCUCCCUGUCGCCGAUGCUUUACCCUCAGGUGACAAAAACCGAGUUGGGAUCCCUGUUGACAGUCCGCAGUGCCUGUGGUGAGGAUAAUAAAAUGUACUGGACUCUCCUCAUGUGCGUCGACACGGAAAAAAGAGCCCUCAAGUUUCCAGAUGGGGAGUUUAGGGUCCUAGAUGACCCAACAAUAGAGUAUAUUACGGGGAUUAAGUCAGGGUCUACAACCAUCCUCGUAGGUGUAGAGAACCUGGAUUUUAGAUCAGAACGACAGGCCGUGCGGAAGCUGCUGGGUUUAGAUAGUUCACUUAGGGGGAAAUCAAGGUUUCCGAGGUUUUUUCGGUGGUUAGAGGCAUAGAUCCGCGUUCCGAAGAUAAAAAAGACUUGGAUCCAGCCAACGUGGGCUACACACUGCUGGUAUGUGCCACGAUGGUUGCACCACAGGCCAACUCUACGUAUGUCCCAGAUGAAAUACUACAUUGCGUCACAAAUCCAGAUAUUAUCGGAUCAUUCAACUGGGGGAAGUACAUAGUUGACAACAUCAUGCUAAACGCAAAACGUGUGCAGCAUCACCACAAGGACAAAAUAGGUGUCUGCCUCAUGGGAGGAUUCCAACUGGUGCUUCAGGUAUGGAAUCGCUCUACGUGCGUGCAUGGCUAAUGCAAAAAGCGUUUGUCCUUUUUCAUCCUUGUCUAUGAUUGCCAAAAAGCUGAUGCUCUGUUUCUUGUCCUCAUUCUUUCAGGCGUUCUUCGCUGAGUGGAUGGAUUUUCAAACUAGCAUGACGCCAAAUGUUUGGCCGCGUAUAUCUGCAUACUCAACGGAAAUCCUAAGAGAAAUAUUUAUUCUCGCAAGGGAUCCAAAACACAGAUUCAAGGUGACACUUUUUGCUCUCUUUUUUCACGAGUUUGUUUCAUUGUCAUGCAAAUUAUACAUGACUACAAUUAUAAUUGUUAACAAAAUAUGCAGACAAAAGCUGAAGG